UACGUAGGGUGCGAGCGUUAAUCGGAAUUACUGGGCGUAAAGCGUGCGCAGGCGGUUUUGUAAGCCAGACGUGAAAUCCCCGGGCUUAACCUGGGAAUGGCAUUUGGGACUGCAAGGCUCGAGUGCGGCAGAGGAGACUGGAAUUCCUGGUGUAGCAGUGAAAUGCGUAGAUAUCAGGAGGAACACCGAUGGCGAAGGCAGGUCUCUGGACAGUUCCUGACGCUGAGGCACGAAGGUCAGGGGAGCAAACGGG
rnacentral:rRNA from 1 species